rnacentral:lncRNA from 1 species
CAAACUAUUAUCCUUGUCUCCAAUGCUAGUAAUAAUUGCACAGGAAAAGAUUUAGUAAAACCUAUCAUUUUUAGUUGCUGCUUAAUUAUGCAAGUUUACUAUGUUAUUGUUUAGUCGGUUUAAAUGUUAGAAUUUUCUUCUUUAAACUUUAAUGUUGUCGUCACUACAUCUGGAAAACCACGUAAGAACAAAUUAAAAGUAUUUUAAAAGAGACCAGGUUGUUUGAAAAUCCUAAACGAAUGCUAAAAAAUCGUCAAAACAUUCUGGUGUCUGAGCCAGAGUUUCAUCGAAUUGCGAUGUAAUGUAAACAGAAAUUAUAGCAAGUUGAUGUCAGUCAACUUAGAUGGUCCAAGCCAAAAUUAUAUCGCAUUUGAAGUUUCAAACUGAGUUAAAAAUAGUGGAAGAAAAGCCG